UACAGAGGUCUCAAGCGUUGUUCGGAUUCAUUGGGCGUAGAGGGUGCGUAGGCGGCGCGGUAAGUCGGGUGUGAAAUCUUGGAGCUUAACUCCGAAACUGCAUUCGAUACUGCCGUGCUUGAGGACUGGAGAGGAGACUGGAAUUUACGGUGUAGCGGUGAAAUGCGUAGAGAUCGUGAGGAAGACCAGUGGCGAAGGCGGGUCUCUGGACAGUUCCUGACGCUGAGGCGCGAAGGCCAGGGGAGCAAACGGG
rnacentral:rRNA from 1 species